ensembl:lncRNA
CGUUAUUGCAAUAUACAUAAUUAUCACAUUCGUACAAUAUAAAUAUUAUAUUGUUUAAACGUGAAAGGUAUGUUGUUAGAACAAUAAACUGUUUACGUUAUAACGUGAUAUAGCUCUAUUUUUCUUUUGCCCCGGUGGCGGCUCUACGCUUGCGUCUGUAGCCUCAUCCUACAAGUUGUGCCUCCAUCUCUUGUGUCCAGAUCACACGCUGCGCUGCCUGCCGCUCCACCUUUUCUUUCAUUUCUGUGUUUGUGCUGCGCAGUGUGAGAGGCGACAGGAUUUCAAACUGGUUUGAUUAUGAUGCGACCAUACAAUUGAUGAUUGGGAGCUGGUCGUGAGGUCUCCACUUCAUCAGACAUCACCUAGACACAGAGCUGGAUGAGACCAGCACAAACAGCAGCCUAACCGACGAAGAUGAUGGAUCCAUGGGGUGAGGAAAGCCAGAAGCAGAGGAACUGGAGAGGUACCUUUCACUGUCCAAUCACUGGAGGUGUGGAUGUAUUGCAUGGCUUUCCUCAGAUCAAGAAGCUGUGGAUCAAAGACUUUUUAGUCACGCAGGACUCCUGUUCACUGCUAAACGGUCGCAGCUUCACAGCAAGAACCUUGAGAGCCUCCAUCUCAAGCUGAAGCACCAUUUCACUGACUGAAGAAACAAUUUAUGGUAAAGUGAGCCAUACACAUAUGUACAUCCACAUAGUGGGAAUUUGUAUUUGUCUUUUAUAAUUAGUUUUACUCUGAUUUCAGUGUUUAUUUGUGAGUGUAGUUUUUACAUUUUUACAUAUUACAUUGUGCUAAUCCACUGUCUAUACUUCAGGGUUUUUUAGUAUACAAAAUAAGUUUUGUUAGAAUGUCUAUUCUUGUGGAAUUUUAGCACAAUGUUUUUUUUUUGUUUUUUUAAUUCCUGCUGUCCGCCUUGGGAAUAAACUUUUCCUGAUUAUACCUGUUGCAUCUCUGUGUCAUUUGUUUCUGAUUUACUUAAUCCCUCCUUCUAUUUAAAAAAAAAAAAAAAAAAAACACCCCAACACCCCCAGUAUGACAUUCUGGCGCAUCAGCUGCAGUCUGUUAUGUUGAAGCUGCCUCGUUCUAAUGUUUUCUCUGAGGCUGCUGUAAAUGCGAAUAUAUUUACUGUGGGUUUUGCUUGAAAAAGCUUUACGUUGUGAAAAACUGAAAUCUUGAAAUUAGAAUUGUU